rnacentral:rRNA from 1 species
AACGAACGCUGGCGGCAUGCCUAACACAUGCAAGUCGAACGAGACCUUCGUGUCUAGUGGCGCACGGGGGCGUAACGCGUGGGAACCUGCCCUUAUGCUCGGAAUAACUCCCCGAAAGGGGUGCUAAUACCGGAUAAUGUCUUCUGACCAAAGAUUUAUCGCGUUUGUAUGGGCCCGCGUUGGAUUAGCUAGUUGGUAGGGUAAAAGCCUACCAAGGCAACGAUCCAUAGCUGGUCUGAGAGGCAGAUCAGCCACACUGGGACUGAGACACGGCCCAGACUACUACGGGAGGCGGGAGUGGGGAAUAUUGGAAUAUGGGCGAAAGGAUGAUCCAGCAAUGCCGCGUGAGUGAUGAAGGCCUUAGGGUAGUAAAGCUCUUUUACCCGGGAUGAUAAUGACAGUACCGGGAGAAUAAGCUCCGGCUAACUCCGUG